UGAGGUCGCUCUGCAGCAGCGCAGGUGCCGGGACCUCACACCUGCGUCUGCCAGGACUCUGAAGGAAGCAGGGGCUGAGUCCGGCGACGAACGGGGGCAUGUUCUCCAGGAUAAGAGGGCUGCGGGGAGCCGUGUGCUCGGCGUGUGGGGGCGGGGCGGUGGAGAGCCCCGUCUUUUGGAGGGACCUCGGGGAGAAUGCUUGUGUUGGACAUUUCUAUCACGUGCAGAAAGGGGUGAGGUCCCCACAGACCUGGACCUGCUGGGAAGCUGACGGAGGAGGGAAACCGUGGAGCCUUCAAACGCUCAAAGGACGUGUGGAUAUUUGAGGCGAACCGUGCGGACGAGGCAUUGGAGCUGCUGAAGGUUUUGAUGAGAAUCCACUCAUGCCAAGACUCUCUCCGGAGAGGGAAUCCCAUCACCUCCUCAACUCCCAUCAUCCUUCCCUUUCUUUCUUUUUUUACAGAUUUUAUUUAUUUAUUUUUAGAGAGGGAAGGGCGGGAGACAGAGAGAGAGAGAGAGAAACAUCAAUGUGUGGUUGCUGGGGGUCAUGGCCUGCAACCCAGGCAUGUGCCCUGACUGGGAAUCGAACCUGCGAUGCUUUGGUUCGCAGCCCACGCUCAAUCCACUGAGCUACGCCGGCCAGGGCUCAUCCUUCCCUUUCAAGAAGCUCUCUGGUUGGAGUCCACAAACAUUCCCUGAGCGGAGCCGUGCCUGGCCCUCUGAGGAAUUCCGAGUUAAAUCCUGGUUGUGGUCCGGCACCUGCAGGCUCUCUCGGGGCAGGGAAGUCAGACACUCACACAACUAACUGUGCCUAUUGGGGGGUCUUCAGAUUGAAACUGAACCCAUAUUACAAAUAUCACUGAGCUCCCCAUCGUUUUGUCCCCGACUCUAGACUUAUGGACAGCCUCUGGGAAAGGGACCGGCCUAGUCAAGAUGGAAAGUUCCGCGGCUCCUCGGCAGGAGCCCUGGCUGGGCACUCCCCAGGCGCUUUCCCCCGCAGACAGAAACCCAGAGGCUGGGGCGUCCUGGUUUGGGAAGAGCAUGAAUGACGGGAAGGGGCCAGGCCGUGCAGUCUGGUCUGCUGUUCAGGACGUGCAGCUGCUGCCAGCGUCCUGGCGCCCUCCCCUCACAGACCCAGGCUGACUCACUCACUCAGACAAGUUUAUUUGCCGGCGGGGGAGCAAGGAGGGGAAGGAGUCAUAAUUUACUGCACAUCUCCUCCACAAGUGGCUUUUAUGACCAAAAAUAAAUCCUGACAUUACCUACAGCCAAAUCCUCUGUCCUGGCUGGGGCUCUGGGUCCCCUGGGAGAGGCGCUGCCUUUUUGCACGGGGCUGGUCUGGACACUGAUCCACGGACGCAGAACCCAGCCUGAGGCCAAGGCUUUGCCUGAGCAGUGGGGGAGCCUUCUCCGAAGGGUCCCAAGCCACGCUGUGGGAUGUACAGCUUUUGUCCUUGUUUAUCUCUUUUUAAGUGCUUUUUCGCCCCCACCAGUUAGUCA